GCUUGCUUCUCUGAUGUUAGCGGCGGACGGGUGAGUAACACGUGGAUAACCUACCUAUAAGACUGGGAUAACUUCGGGAAACCGGAGCUAAUACCGGAUAAUAUUUUGAACCGCAUGGUUCAAAAGUGAAAGACGGUCUUGCUGUCACUUAUAGAUGGAUCCGCGCUGCAUUAGCUAGUUGGUAAGGUAACGGCUUACCAAGGCAACGAUGCAUAGCCGACCUGAGAGGGUGAUCGGCCACACUGGAACUGAGACACGGUCCAGACUCCUACGGGAGGCAGCAGUAGGGAAUCUUCCGCAAUGGGCGAAAGCCUGACGGAGCAACGCCGCGUGAGUGAUGAAGGUCUUCGGAUCGUAAAACUCUGUUAUUAGGGAAGAACAUAUGUGUAAGUAACUGUGCACAUCUUGACGGUACCUAAUCAGAAAGCCACGGCUAACUACGUGCCAGCAGCCGCGGUAAUACGUAGGUGGCAAGCGUUAUCCGGAAUUAUUGGGCGUAGAGCGCGCGUAGGCGGUUUUUUAAGUCUGAUGUGAAAGCCCACGGCUCACCCGUGGAGGGUCAUUGGAAACUGGAGAACUUGAGUGCAGAAGAGGAAAGUGGAAUUCCAUGUGUAGCGGNGAAAUGCGCAGAGAUCUGGAGGAACACCAGUGGCGA
rnacentral:rRNA from 1 species